AGCCGUCGCCACUCCGCCCCUCCAAUUCUCCGUUUCUCACGCUUGUAGGGUUUCGUCACCUCCCUGCAGCCGCCUCCGUUCGUUGUCCGCACCGCCGCCUCCAUUCCCCAUCCGCACCAUCGCCGUCCACGCAUGUCGCCUCCGUUCCCCAUCCGCACCAUCGCCAUCCACGCUGGUCGCCUCCGUUCCCCAUCCACACCAGCGAUUCUGCACCAGCGCCCACCACCCCCGCAUCGCCCCCACUCCCGUCUGCUGCCCCGCCAGUCAUCGUGGGCUCGGUCAAGCACCUCACGCCUGCGUGGGUCAGCCGUCGUUCCCGCUAAUCUCCUUCGCUCAGGCACCAGAGUCACACCAUCCUCGCUGUCAAUCUCGUCGCAAACCCUCCGCCCCUCUCCGGUCUGGCACUACCACGAGCUUCCAGACCCCCCGCCCGAGAAAUGUUGUAGCGUCUCAUGCUGGGAUGGGCGGCGUCAGCGCCGUCUCUCGCCCUGCUGUGGUCCUCCUCCUCUGGGUGGAGUCCUGCACUUCUUUAUUGUCUCGUCUUGCUCGCUCGUCCCCUAAAUCAUGUCUGUGUCGCCCCCUCCAUUUCACGAGUUUGCUCGCGUUGGCCGGGGGACGGGGGUCCGGAGCCUCGUGCCGCACUCCAUCAGAGACCCUGCAACCUUUCCGCGAACGCUGUUGUUCCUGCUCCUGCCGGCGGCCUUGCUACCAACCCGAGCGUGCGUGUGUUGGUGGAGCGAGGCAAUUCCAGUGCACGGCGUGGAUUCAGUUUUCGAUCAGUGAAUUGCACAUACAGCUACCCUUGAGUCAAAUUGAUUGUAUCCGCUUGUUUCUAACAUCUCCCUUCCACAGUUCCACUUCGGCGACCGGUGUGACGAAGCAGGUUAGUCUGUAAGUUGUUGGGCUGUGGAGCAACCGUUUCCUAAUGGGAAAUUCGAUCUGGUAUGGUCCAUGGAGAGUGGCUAAUUUAAGUCUGCAAUGAACAACCUAAUUUAAAGCUGCAAUGAACAAUACAUUUUCCUUGGUUCAGAAAUUUCAAAGGACCUGAUGGUGGAAGUAAAUCGUACCUAUGCAACCUAUAUUCAACAAGCCCUAACAGUGUGCAAUUGCAAAAAAACGCCAAAGUCUUAAUUUAGGAAUUUAAAGAAAGGAAAAGUUAACUUUCAGACAAUUGGAGACGUGUGUUCGAUGGGGGGGUAUUUUGUGCUGACCACUCAUCACACAUAUGCAUGGCGCCCCAGCCCACGCACAGCCGCCCCUGCCCGACCGACGACCGCUGGUGCCGUCCGCUCCACGCCUGCGACCACUCCACAAUGGGUGGCAAGUUUGACCAUGUAGAUCGUUUGUUCCAAAGCAUGGAGAGCGCUUACAUAAAUAGCUUAUCAAAUACAAGUGACGUCAAAGAGCUUAUUCCAGAAUUCUUUUACAUGUGAUGGGGAACCUAUAGGCGAUGUUGCUCUCCCUCCAUGGGCAAAGGGUUAACCUGAAGAAUCCAUCCACAUAAACAAAGAAGCCCUUGAAAGUGAAUAUGUGAGCUCUAAUCUCCAUAUCUGGAUUGACCUCAUAGAUCAGGAGGUGUUGAUCAGGAGCAGCUAAUCAGGAGCCUCAUCAACCAAACUGCAGGGAAAGCAUUAUAAUACCAUAGCAACACUAUGUGACAUGUAUGCUUUCUUGGUGUUCCUUUUUGUCAUUUUUAUCUGGUGUUAUCAUCUAGCCAUAUCUAUCGUAACAACACCCAAGAGGUCCGUGAAUAUGAUGGGUUAGCGUUUAGUACUCUAUACAAGGUAUUUAAUCUCAAACAUAUUCUGAAUUUCUGAUAUUAGAGAUAAUUUUCUUUUUCUUUUUAAUUUAUUCACCUUAUAUAGAGUACUGGACUGCAAGCCAUUGAUGAGAUUGUCCCCAAAUCUAUGACGAGUUCCUCAAGCUCUAUAAGUUUCUGGAUGGAUUCAGUUUUAUUUACAUCGGUGCAUGGUUGCCUUCAGUUUUAAAUCACUAUCUAUCUACUGACGGCGAGCAGUUGAUCGUCAUUUGUUGGUUUAGUUUUCACAGAUUCACCAAAAAUCCUUUUCAAGUCCCCCCCUUUUGACCAACUCACUGUUGUUUUCUAUUGUUGUAAUCUAGAUCAGGUGUUGAUCACGAGCAGUUGAUCAGGAGCCUCAUCAACCAUACUGUAGGGAAGCAUUGUAAUAUCAUAACAACACUAUGUGACAGCGCUGACAACAUUGGUCCGUGAGAGGUAAGUUGAUAAUGGAACUCAAGCCUCUGCAGAUGUUAACGGUUGUUUCAGUGCUAUGAUUUAAACCAUUCUAAUAUUCGUUCAUAUCUUGCAGGCAAAUGUUGGGGAUUGUCGUGCAGUCCUGUGUUGGAAAGGAAUAACAGUGGAGAUGUCAAAGGAUCACAAGCCGACAUAUGACGCAGAGCGUCAAAGGCAUCAAAGAUGGCUACCUCAACGGCGUACUGCCUGUGACCUAGGCUUUGGGGGACUGGGACCUGAAACUACAUCAAGGCUCGCCAUCGCCUCUUAUUGCUAAACCAGAGAUCCGCUAGAUGAUCCUGAUGGAAGAUGACGAGUUCCUCAUCAUUGGCUACGAUGGGAUAUUCAUGAUGACUAGCCAGAAUGUUAUGAGCAGUCCGCAAGGGACUCCGGAGGCAUGAUGAUUUGUGUUCCGUCGCAACGUAUGGUCACUCUAUUAUCACAUAUAUAUAAGUCCGCAUGAUACUAAUGGUUGUAAUGUAGUGGUGAAAUGGCUAGAUUAAGGGCCCGUUUGGUUCCUUUAGUUCAAGGAUUAAAGUUUAGUUAGAAGACUAAAGUUUAGUCCCUAUCCUAUUUGGUUCUAAAGACUAAAAGUAUUCAAAACAUACUACAUGAAUCAUAAGAGAACCAAAAUACCCCUUAACAUU